UUUAAUAUCCAGCACAAAGCGUGUAAAUAAAAUAAAUAGCAUGUUGUCUUUAUCUUCAAAGGCAUUAUAUUGUACUUCUAGCAAGUGCACCAACAGAAAAACAACGCCUGGAAUGGUGAGUAUAAGAAUAGACUUUACAGAAAAAGCAAACUUCAAAAUGAAUCACAUAGCCACUGAACACAGUAGGAGAUAGGAGGAAGUCCUUAAAACUUCUAGUUUGGUUUGAUUUGUUCACAAAUGGAGCUUUACUGUGUGUAGUGGAAGUAUAGAAAUCAGGAGAUCCAUAUGCAACUUAUUUUUUUGUUUGCUUUAUGGAGAUCUGUGCAUCAUUUCUUAAUUGUAUAUUUAAAGUGCACUUACAGCUUGUUUUUCUUAAAAUUUUUGUGUGGAUAACUUUUGUAACCUUGCUGGUGUGAAUGGAGUGUUUCUUGGCUCUUUUUUCCCCGUUGUUUGGCAAUUUUGGGUAGAACAUAAGGCUUCUGGUUUUAUCGGUGGGAGUUCAGCUAGUUGAAAUGCCCUGGUAUGUGCAUUUUAUUUAUUUAUUUUUAAGUUAACCAAAACUUUUUGUUAAUACUAAGUGACAUUUGUUCAGGGUGGGCUUGGUGGAAUCAAAAAUCCGAAUCCUGGUUGGAAGCUUGGAGAAGAAUGAAUUUAUUACACUGGCUCAUGUGAAUCCCCAGUCAUUUCCAGCACCCAAAGAAAAUCCCGACAAGGAAGAAUUUCGCACGAUGUGGGUGAUUGGGUUAGUGUUUAAAAAAACAGAAAACUCUGAAAACCUCAGUGUUGAUCUCACCUAUGAUAUUCAGUCUUUCACAGAUACAGCAUUCAACAGAAGGUGUCAAAUUGACAGCUCUCAAUGACAGCAGCCUCGACUUGUCUAUGGACAGUGAUAACAGCAUGUCUGUGCCUUCACCUACUAGUGCUACGAAGACCAGUCCAUUGAACAGUUCUGGCAGCUCUCAGGGGUAAGGAAAAAGAGGGAAACAGAAGUAGAGGGGCUGUUUGCUAAAUCAAUCAGAUACAUUCUCUUUUUGCUAUUAAAGUCAUCUAUUUAGAAUGUUAAUUCAUUCCAUCUACUAAUUUUUUUUUAAAUAGCAAUUUAAUUCCCAGGUUUGGGGAUAGUACUUUUUGGUUUUGUCUUGUCAUACUUAACAUUUUAUUUUUGAGACUGAUAAUGUCUUCAGUCAGAUGUGAAUGAAUGUUAGCACAUAACCCCUCCAAAUUCAUGUAUUUAGAUAGCUACUGCUACAGUGCACUGUAUGGUGUGCUGAUGAGAACAGACAAAAGGAACAAAACCACCUUUCUGUCCUAGAGCUGCUUAUACCUUUGUAACAGGGAAUGUGUCUAUGAUAGUUAGGGAAACCUGUUGUAGAAGAGCUAGAUAUCUGUCUAACAUUUACAGCAGUUAAAAUUUUAAAAAUUUAUUAUUAUUUUGAGAAAUGGGGUCUGGCUGUGUUGUUUAGGCUGGCCUUGAGUUCCUGGAUUUAAGCGAUCCUCCUACUUCAACCUUCUGAGUAGCUGAGACUACAGGCGCAUGCCACUGCCCUGGGUAUGAAGCAGUGAAAAAUUUUCAGCCAGGUGCAGUGACUCACACCUGUAAUCCCAACACUUGGGGAGGCUGAGGUGUUAGGAUCACUUGAGGCCAGGAGUUCAAGACCAGCCUGGGCAACGUAGUGAGACUCCCAUCUCUAGAAAAAAGUAAAAGAAUUAGGUGUGGUGGUAUGCACCUGUAGUCGUGGCCACUCAGGAGGCUGAGGUGGGAGGAUUGCUUGAACCUGCAAGGUUGAGACUACAGUGAGCUGUGAUCCCACUGCUGCACCCCAGCCUGGGCAACCAGAGUGAGACCCUGUCUUAAAAAAAAAAAAAAAA
rnacentral:sRNA from 1 species